GUCCUACGGGGGGCAGCAGUGGGGAAUAUUGCACAAUGGGGGAAACCCUGAUGCAGCGACGCCGCGUGAGUGAAGAAGUAUUUCGGUAUGUAAAGCUCUAUCAGCAGGGAAGAAAAAAGACGGUACCUGACUAAGAAGCCCCGGCUAACUACGUGCCAGCAGCCGCGGUAAUACGUAGGGGGCAAGCGUUAUCCGGAUUUACUGGGUGUAAAGGGAGCGUAGACGGCGCGGCAAGUCUGAAGUGAAGGGCAGGGGCUUAACCCCUGAACUGCUUUGGAAACUGCCAU
rnacentral:rRNA from 1 species